rnacentral:rRNA from 1 species
UACAGAGGUCCCAAGCGUUGUUCGGAUUCACUGGGCGUAAAGGGUGCGUAGGUGGUGAGGUAAGUCGGAUGUGAAAUCUCCGAGCUCAACUCGGAAAUGGCAUUGGAAACUACCUUGCUCGAGGGUUGGAGGGGGGACUGGAAUUCUCGGUGUAGCAGUGAAAUGCGUAGAUAUCGAGAGGAACACCAGUGGCGAAGGCGAGUCCCUGGACAACUCCUGACACUGAGGCACGAAAGCUAGGGGAGCAAACAGG